rnacentral:piRNA from 1 species
UUCAGCUCUACAGUAUGCACUCUGGGAUCUC